rnacentral:rRNA from 1 species
GAUGAACGCUGGCGGCGUGCCUAAUACAUGCAAGUCGAGCGAACGGACGCGAAGCUUGCUGCUCUGAUGUUAGCGGCGGACGGGUGAGUAACACGUGUAUACCCUACCUAUAAGACUGGGAUAACUUCGGGAAACCGGAGCUAAUACCGGAUAAUAUUUUGAACCGCAUGGUUCAAAAGUGAAAGACGGUCUUGCUGUCACUUAUAGAUGGAUCCGCGCUGCAUUAGCUAGUUGGUAAGGUAACGGCUUAUCAAGGCAACGAUGCAUAGCCGACCUGAGAGGCUGGUCGGCCACAUUGGAACGGAGACACGGUCCAGACGCCUACGGGAGGCAGCAGUCGGGAAUCUUCCGCAAUGGGCGAAAGCCUGACGGAGCAACGCCGCGUGAGUGAUGAAGGUCUUCGGAUCGUAAAACUCUGUUAUUAGGGAAGAACAUAUGUGUAAGUAACUGUGCACAUCGUGACGGUACCUAAUCAGAAAGCCACGGCUAACUACGUG